rnacentral:tRNA from 1 species
ACGGAAAUACGAAAAAAUAGAAAUAAGCUCUAAAUACAUAUUCAAGUGAUUUAGCAUAGUGUUUGUAGAUAAUAUAUUUUAGUGUAAAUAGAAUACGGGUCUGUAGCUCAGUUGGUUAGAGCGCACCCCUGAUAAGGGUGAGGUCGGUAGUUCGAGUCUACUCAGACCCACCAGUAAUUUUGGGGCCAUAGCUCAGCUGGGAGAGCACCUGCUUUGCACGCAGGGGGUCAGCGGUUCGAUCCCGCUUGGCUCCACCAUAUUUAUUUACACGAAGAUAGAGAUAUUUUAACAAUUUAGUAUAGAAAUAG